rnacentral:lncRNA from 1 species
CAAAAUUAUCGGACAAAAAGCAACACGGACCAUAAGUAACGGUAAAAAAGCAAAAGUGUCGGACCAAAAGCAAAAUUUUCGGACAAAAAUCAAAACGGAUUGAAUGCAACGGACAAAGAGCAAAAAAGCUGGGAGAAAAAAAGCAUAGUCGGACAAAAAGCAAAUCCCGGACCGAAAGCACAGUAUCAUACGAGCAACUAUAGGCCUAGUUAUGUAAAGCAAAUCCAGUAUUGUGUUUAUUAAUCAAGCUUUAAUAAAAAGGCAUCUACAUGACGAAAUAUUCAAAGCAGAAAACCAACGACCUUUUAUGACAAACAAAUACAUGAACUACAAUAAUAUUAUGACAG